rnacentral:rRNA from 1 species
CGAGCGGCGGACGGCUGAGUAACGCGUGGGAACAUACCCUAAAGUGAGGGAUAACUACUCGAAAGAGUGGCUAAUACCGCAUAUGAUCUUCGGAUUAAAGCAUUUAUGCGCUUUAGGAAUGGCCUGCGUACGAUUAGAUAGUUGGUGAGGUAAAGGCUCACCAAGUCGACGAUCGUUAGAUGGUUUGAGAGGAUGAUCAUCCAGACUGGGACUGAGACACGGCCCAGACUCCUACGGGAGGCAGCAG